GAUGAACGCUGGCGGCGUGCCUAAUACAUGCAAGUCGAGCGAACAGACGAGGAGCUUGCUCCUCUGACGUUAGCGGCGGACGGGUGAGUAACACGUGGAUAACCUACCUAUAAGACUGGGAUAACUUCGGGAAACCGGAGCUAAUACCGGAUAAUAUAUUGAACCGCAUGGUUCAAUAGUGAAAGACGGUUUUGCUGUCACUUAUAGAUGGAUCCGCGCCGCAUUAGCUAGUUGGUAAGGUAACGGCUUACCAAGGCAACGAUGCGUAGCCGACCUGAGAGGGUGAUCGGCCACCCUGGAACUGAGACACGGUCCAGACUCCUACGGGAGGCAGCAGUAGGGAAUCUUCCGCAAUGGGCGAAAGCCUGACGGAGCAACGCCGCGUGAGUGAUGAAGGUCUUCGGAUCGUAAAACUCUUUUAUUAGGGAAGAACAAAUGUGUAAGUAACUAUGCACGUCUUGACGGUACCUAAUCAGAAAGCCACGGCUAACUACGUG
rnacentral:rRNA from 1 species